rnacentral:rRNA from 1 species
GUCUACAGUCAUGCCACCCUGAACGUGCCCGACCCCAUCUGAUCUUGGAAGCUAAGCAGGGUCAAGUCUGGUUAGUACUUGGAUGGGAGACCACCUAAGGAAGACUAGGUGCUGUAGGCA